rnacentral:rRNA from 1 species
GACGAACGCUGGCGGCGUGCUUAACACAUGCAAGUCGAACGGGCCCGCUCUCUUUUUUGGGGGUGGGUUGAGUGGCGAACGGGUGAGUAUCACGUGAGUAACCUGCCCCCUGCUCCUGGAUAACUGCUUGAAAGGGCGGCUAAUACGGGGUGUGCCGGCUGGUCCGCAUGGGCCUGGUCGGGAUAGUUUCAUCUUCGGGCGUUUCGGUGGGGGAUGGGCUCGCGGCCUAUCAGCUUGUUGGUGGGGUGAUGGCCCACCAAGGCGGUGACGGGUAGCCGGCCUGGGGGGGUGGGCGGCCACACUGGGACUGAGACACGGCCCAGACUCCUGCGGGAGGCAGCAGUGGGGGGUAUUGCACAAUGGGCGGAAGCCUGAUGCAGCGACGUCGCGUGAGGGAUGGAGGCCUUCGGGUUGUGAACCUCUUUCUCCGGUGGUGAAGGCCCUGUCCGUUGCGGCGGGGUUGACGGUAGCCGGGUAUGAAGCGCCGGCUAACUACGUG